AUCAAAGCCCCUAUCGGCUCCUUUGGAACCUCAUCCCACUAGGUCCAUCCAGGCAUCCUCGCGAUUCGCUUCCACUCACCGUGCUUCUAGCUGUGUUAUUCUCAACACCGUCACUCUCGCUUCCUCAGCUGCUUCAGCGGUCCGAGCUUAUAUAGGGAAACACUUGGCCCGCCCUUCUGCCCGCCUGUCCUCUGCUGACCCGCUCCUUUUUUCUGCUUCCUUUUUUUAAAGGAGGGAGGGGUCACCAGGCAAGAUACGCGGGUCGCGGAAGAAAGAAUGCAGCAGUUACUACAAAUCAUAGAUGCAGGACCAAAGGAGCUCAGACUAACUUUUGUAGCUCCCUCUGGAGGUUUGUGUCGUUUCGGCGGUGCACGCUGCUGCUGAUAAAUCAGUAUUCAUACCACCAUCUUUAAAAUCUUUCGAUGUAGUUCGGAAGUUGUAUGCUUUGUGCGUGGCAGUGGUGUAGGAAGGGCGGGGGGGGGGGCGGGCGCUGCUGCUCGCGGCACAUCCGGGAGGAGGAUGGGCAGCGGCAGGCAGCGGCGCCCGCCGGCGGCUCCUUAAGACCCUGGGUACUUCAGUUUUUCAGAAACCUCUUUGGGAGCAGCAGGCGUGUCACACAAGACAGGCAGAGGCCCAGUGUAGAGGCGAAAGACAGCGAUGAUGCCAAACGUGAACUCCUGGUCCUUCCUUUGCCUGACGCUGAAACAACAUUACCAGGCAAAAAGCCAGAUGUCACCAAUGCCUGUACCAGUGAGGCCUGCGAGGGGUUGGUUGAUAGCUGCCCUGAAGAGCUCUCAUUGCUGAAGAAAAUAAGUGUUAGAGAUACCACCAGCCCCAUAAAAGAGAGCAAGCAAUCUGUUUUACUUGGCACAACUGGGAGGGGAAUGGGAGACCCGGAUGCUUUUGCUGAGUCUCUGAUGAGUAAUGUAGGUCAGGAAGCAAGUGAAAAGAUUCCUAUUCCGGGAGAAAAGAAAGAAGAACCUGGUGAUGUAGGAACAUUGGGAAAGGAUGGAGUCACUCAUACCCUCUGUGCAGAUGAUGGAGUCUGCAUGGCUGUAGAAUCUGUGCCAGAUGUCCAAGAGUGCAAUAUUGAAGAGGAAAAGGAACACCUUCUGAAAGAAAAUCCCCAAGAGGAAUCUUCAAAAGCAGAGCGGUCCCCAUGGAACAGGCUGCUCAAUAGGUACAAGCAACGCCGGAGGAUUCCUAUUUCUAAAGUGGAUAUUUCAGCACAACCAAUAAUUGAAGAUGAAUCUACCCUGGACCUAAUGAUAUAUGGAAUUGCAACACCUAAGUCCCAUGUCUCCUUACCAGAUUCCACUGAGGCUGCUUAUAGGCGUCCUGAAGAUGUGACCAGGGAAAUGAUUGGAAACUGUGAAACAGCAGAGAAAGACAUGGUACCGAAUGCUUCUGGAACCCUGGAAAAUCCAAAGAAUGUGUCCUGAGAAAAUACUGUAAGAGCCACCCUAGUCUAUCAGCUACACUGCUCUUCAUUUUCUUCAGCUGGAAGGAAGACUAACCUACCAAGAAUUCUGUUUUGUAAUCCCCAAGCAUAGUUUCAUACUUUUCACUUGCAUUUCAGUUGAGUUUUUUCUUGCCUUGCCUUUUCUUUUCUUUUUCAGGAGUGUAUAGCUUUCACUCAUUUUGCCCUGAAUUGUAUGGAUCCCUAUAAAUUUAACAGAUGCUUACUUAAUAUAUAUUCUAGCUUGAUUGAUUUGUCUGCCCUCAUUAAAUAACUAUUUUACAGUGUUCUCAUAUAUUUUUUGUGUUCUUUAGUGUGUGCACACUUAAUGUUAUGUUAAAACAAGUCGAAAUUUUAUGCAGCACACAUCACAAAGUUACAGCUUAUGACACCGAAAAUUGCAUUUCUGAGAUCAUGCCAUUCUUCCUAUUGCCCAUUGACUCAUUUAUGAUGUCUCUGCAAGCUACAAGAUGUAUUUGGGGAAGACAUGAUGGUUAAAGAUGCACAGAUAAUGAAUAUCAACAAAAAUAACCUCAAACUGAAUAAAAUGGAAAGAGUGAAAAAUCA
ensembl:lncRNA